UCCUUAAUCUUUGCUAGUUUUUUUAUCAACCGAGCUCUCUCAAUUUCAACAUAAAUCUUCCCAGCAGAAACAGUGUUAAGUGUCUUAAUGAGUUCUAUACGAGUUUCAAGAUCCGGUGUCUCAUCAAUGUACUGCAUCGCUUGCUGGACCAUAACAGUUACAGCCUGCUUGAGUUGACCACGUUUCUUGGAAAGGAGGACUAUCUGGUCGUUAAGCAUCUUCCAGUCUUUGGCUUCGAAGCAAAGUUGAAGAAUGUCGGUAACGGCCUUCUUAGUGCCGGCGACGGCACUGGCGAGCCUCAUCUGCUUCUCGACAUUCUGCAACUGCUCUAUCGCCGACUCCAAAUUGGCUUUGCCCUCCAUCUUGAAUCGGGAAAAAUCUAUGGAUGAAGAUAUAUCAAUUCAGAUGAACCCUAGAGAGCGUGAGUUUUGAUUUAGAGAAGAACAAAAAGAAAUUUGC
rnacentral:misc_RNA from 1 species